AUCUGGCUGGCUCAGUUGGUAGAGCAUGCGACUCUUGAUCUCAGGGUUGUGAGUUCAAGCCCCAUGUUGGGUG
rnacentral:tRNA from 1 species